rnacentral:rRNA from 1 species
AAAUAGCACGCUAGCACUAAUGCACCGGAUCCCAUCAGAACUCCGAAGUUAAGCGUGCUUGGGUGAGAGUAAUCUAGGAUGGGUGACCCCCUAGGAAGUCUUCGGGUUUC